rnacentral:rRNA from 1 species
GUCCACACUGUAAACGAUGAUAACUAGGUGUCGGCCGAAUCUGGUCGGUGCCACAGCGAAAGCGUUAAGUUAUCCACCUGGGGAGUACGCCGGCAACGGUGAAACUCAAAGGAAUUGACGGUGGUCCGCACAAGCGGUGGAGCAUGUGGUUUAAUUCGAUGAUACGCGAGGAACCUUACCUAGGCUAGAAUGUGAAGGAAUGAUACAGAAAUGGAUCAGUCAGCAAAUGACCUGAAACAAGGUGCUGCAUGGCUGUCGU